UACGUAGGGGGCAAGCGUUUGUCCGGAUUUAUUGGGCGUAAAGAGCGUGUAGGCGGCUUUACAGGUCCGUUGUGAAAACUCGAGGCUCAACCUCGAGACGCCGGUGGAAACCGUAAGGCUAGAGUCCGGAAGAGGAGAGUGGAAUUCCUGGUGUAGCGGUGAAAUGCGCAGAUAUCAGGAAGAACACCCGUGGCGAAGGCGGCUCUCUGGGACGGUACUGACGCUGAGACGCGAAAGCGUGGGGAGCGAACAGG
rnacentral:rRNA from 1 species